rnacentral:lncRNA from 1 species
UUCGGCGGAGCUCUCCCCCAAGAAGAUUUCACAGCUACGCCCCUCUCAAUGCUCCAAAAACUCAAGUGCUGAUGGAGAUCAGGGAGCAGCUGCCAAGGCCGAAAAAGAUGCGCACACAUCCCAAAAAGUAUAACCCUAACAAGUUCUGCCUCUAUCAUCAUGACCACGGCCAUGACACGAAAGAGUGUAUUCAACUCCGAGAUA